CCAGACUCCUACGGGAGGCAGCAGUGGGGAAUAUUGGGCAAUGGGCGCAAGCCUGACCCAGCAACGCCGCGUGAAGGAAGAAGGCUUUCGGGUUGUAAACUUCUUUUGUCAGGGACGAAGCAAGUGACGGUACCUGGCGAAUAAGCCACGGCUAACUACGUGCCAGCAGCCGCGGUAAUACGUAGGUGGCAAGCGUUAUCCGGAUUUACUGGGUGUAAAGGGCGUGUAGGCGGGAGAGCAAGUCAGACGUGAAAUUCCAGGGCUCAACCCUGGAACUGCGUUUGAAACUGUUCUUCUUGAGUGAUGGAGAGGCAGGCGGAAUUCCUAGUGUAGCGGUGAAAUGCGUAGAUAUUAGGAGGAACACCAGUGGCGAAGGCGGCCUGCUGGGCUUUAACUGACGCUGAGGCUCGAAAGUGUGGGUAGCAAACAGGAUUAGAUACCCUGGAC
rnacentral:rRNA from 1 species